rnacentral:rRNA from 1 species
CCUACGGGAGGCAGCAGUGGGGAAUAUUGCACAAUGGGCGCAAGCCUGACCCAGCAACGCCGCGUGAAGGAAGAAGGCUUUCGGGUUGUAAACUGCUUUUGACAGGGAAGAGUAGACGACGGUACCUGUCGAAUAAGCCACGGCUAACUACGUGCCAGCAGCCGCGGUUAUAAGUAGGUGGGAAACGUUGUCCGGAUUUACCGUGUGUAAAGGGCGUGUAGCCGGGUUGACGAGUCAGAUGUGAAAUCCUUCGGCUUAACAGCAGAACUGCUUUUGAAACUGUUGAGCUUGAGUACUGGAGGGGCAGACGGAAUUCCUGGUGUAGCGGUGGAAUGUGUAGAUAUUAGGAGGAACACCAGUGGCGAAGGCAG